GUAGGGAAUAUUGCACAAUGGAGGAAACUCUGAUGCAGCGACGCCGCGUGAGUGAUGAAGGCCUUCGGGUCGUAAAGCUCUGUCGCAGGGGAAUAACACAAUGAAGGUACCCUGUAAGAAAGGAUCGGCUAACUUCGUGCCAGCAGCCGCGGUAAGACGAGGGAUCCUAGCGUUGUUCGGAAUCAUUGGGCGUAAAGCGGAUGUAGGUGGCUAUGUAAGUCAGAUGUGAAAGCCUGGGGAUCAACCCCAGAAGUGCAUUUGAUACUGCGUAGCUUGAGUGUCGGAGAGGUUACUAGAAUUGUUGGUGUAGUGGGGAAAUACGUAGAUAUCAACAGGAAUACCAGAGGCGAAGGCGGGUAACUGGCCGAACACUGACACUGAGAUCCGAAAGCGUGGGGAUCAAACAGGAUUAGAAACCCUUGUAGUCC
rnacentral:rRNA from 1 species